CCUUCUAAAGCCUUUGGCAGGGGAUAAAUCCCUGACCAUAUGUGCCUGGAGAGCAAAAAGAAAACAAAGGAAAAUCUAAAGCCCAAGGGUAAAAGUCUGUCUGACAGGUUCAAUUGCAUAACAAAGCCCAUCCUAGGAUAGGCACAUGAUGACCAGGAACAGCUAUUUUGCAGCCCAUUUGUUGAGUGAUGGAAAUAAACAGCAGGCAAGAUUGUACAUGCCUCUUAGCCAAAAUGAAUAUCUUGCAUCAAGCCUCAAAUAUUAGUUUUGCUUUGCAGACCAUCUGCUUAUCCUCUUGGUCCCUCAGGAAUGGAGAGCAUUAAACAGUUGAUAAACACAAGUUUGAAUUUUAGAGACUUGGUGAGGAGUCUGUACUUGGGUCAUCCUGAUUUCCUGGUGAUAAUCUGACAAAUGUCAAAUUAAUCCUGAGGAACUAAAUCCAAAGUAAAUGUUCCAUGCGUAACUGAAUUAAUUUCAUGGCCAUUUGGUGCCAAAGAAUAUUCUACCCAAAAUUAAAACAUUUUAUUUUACCCUAUCACAAAUUACUAAAGAUACUCAAUGGAAGAUUUUCAAAGAGCCACAGCUGAAAAACUAACUGCAUUGGCAAAAUAAGAGCUCUGAAGCCUU